GAUGAACGCUGGCGGCGUGCCUAAUACAUGCAAGUCGAGCGAACAGACGAGGAGCUUGCUCCUCUGACGUUAGCGGCGGACGGGUGAGUAACACGUGGAUAACCUACCUAUAAGACUGGGAUAACUUCGGGAAACCGGAGCUAAUACCGGAUAAUAUAUUGAACCGCAUGGUUCAAUAGUGAAAGACGGUUUUGCUGUCACUUAUAGAUGGAUCCGCGCCGCAUUAGCUAGUUGGUAAGGUAACGGCUUACCAAGGCAACGAUGCGUAGCCGACCUGAGAGGGUGAUCGGCCACACUGGAACGGAGACACGGUCCAGACUCCUACGGGAGGCAGCAGUAGGGAAUCUUCCGCAAUGGGUGAAAGCUUGACGGAGCAACGCCGCGUGAGUGAUGAAGGUCUUCGGAUCGUAAAACUCUGUUAUUAGGGAAGAACAAAUGUGUAAGUAACUAUGCACGUCUUGACGGUACCUAAUCAGAAAGCCACGGCUAACUACGUG
rnacentral:rRNA from 1 species